GCUCUCGUAGCUCAAUUGAUUAGAGCAUGUACUUAAUAAGCAGAGGUCUUGAGUUCAGCUCUCAGCAAGAGCA
rnacentral:tRNA from 1 species